UCCCUCUCAGGGUUGCACCUGGAGAGUUUCCAGUACUCUACCAGUCUCAAACUAUGGGAGGGAGAGUCAAGCAGAGUGACACUCAUUUCAUUCUAGCUUGGGCAGUGGCUAGUUGAGUGGAAGGCAAUCUGCUACAAGA